AGAGUUUGAUCCUGGCUCAGAUUGAACGCUGGCGGCAUGCCUUACACAUGCAAGUCGAACGGCAGCACGGGUGCUUGCACCUGGUGGCGAGUGGCGAACGGGUGAGUAAUGCAUCGGAACGUACCCGGAAGUGGGGGAUAACGUAGUGAAAGUUACGCUAAUACCGCAUAUUCUGUGAGCAGGAAAGAGGGGGAUCGCAAGACCUCUCGCUUUCGGAGCGGCCGAUGUCGGAUUAGCUAGUUGGCGGGGUAAAGGCCCACCAAGGCGACGAUCCGUAGCGGGUCUGAGAGGAUGAUCCGCCACACUGGGACUGAGACACGGCCCAGACUCCUACGGGAGGCAGCAGUGGGGAAUUUUGGACAAUGGGGGCAACCCUGAUCCAGCCAUGCCGCGUGAGUGAAGAAGGCCUUCGGGUUGUAAAGCUCUUUCGGCUGGGAAGAAAUCGCAUCUCCUAAUACGGGGUGUGGAUGACGGUACCAGCAUAAGAAGCACCGGCUAACUACGUGCCAGCAGCCGCGGUAAUACGUAGGGUGCGAGCGUUAAUCGGAAUUACUGGGCGUAAAGCGUGCGCAGGCGGUUUCGUAAGACAGAGGUGAAAUCCCCGGGCUCAACCUUGGGAACUGCUUUUGUGACUGCGAGGCUAGAGUAUGGCAGAGGGGGGUGGAAWUCCACGUGUAGCAGUGAAAUGCGUAGAGAUGUGGAGGAACACCGAUGGCGAAGGCAGCCCCCUGGGCCAAUACUGACGCUCAUGCACGAAAGCGUGGGGAGCAAACAGGAUUAGAUACCCUGGUAGUCCACGCCCUAAACGAUGUCAACUAGGUGUUGGGAGGGUUAAACCUUUUAGUACCGUAGCUAACGCGUGAAGUUGACCGCCUGGGGAGUACGGCCGCAAGGUUAAAACUCAAAGGAAUUGACGGGGACCCGCACAAGCGGUGGAUGAUGUGGAUUAAUUCGAUGCAACGCGAAAAACCUUACCUACCCUUGACAUGCCAGGAACUUGCCAGAGAUGGCUUGGUGCCCGAAAGGGAACCUGGACACAGGUGCAGCAUGGCUGUCGUCAGCUCGUGUCGUGAGAUGUUGGGUUAAGUCCCGCAACGAGCGCAACCCUUGUCAUUAGUUGCCAUCAUUUAGUUGGGCACUCUAAUGAGACUGCCGGUGACAAACCGGAGGAAGGUGGGGAUGACGUCAAGUCCUCAUGGCCCUUAUGGGUAGGGCUUCACACGUCAUACAAUGGUCGGUACAGAGGGUUGCCAAGCCGCGAGGUGGAGCCAAUCCCAGAAAGCCGAUCGUAGUCCGGAUCGUAGUCUGCAACUCGACUACGUGAAGUCGGAAUCGCUAGUAAUCGCGGAUCAGCAUGUCGCGGUGAAUACGUUCCCGGGUCUUGUACACACCGCCCGUCACACCAUGGGAGCGGGUUCUACCAGAAGCAGUUAGCCUAACCGCAAGGGGGGCGAUUGCCACGGUAGGAUUCGUGACUGGGGUGAAGUCGUAACAACGGUAACC
rnacentral:rRNA from 1 species